rnacentral:rRNA from 1 species
UACAGAGGUCUCAAGCGUUGUUCGGAUUCAUUGGGCGUAAAGGGUGCGUAGGCGGCGCGGUAAGUCGGGUGUGAAAUCUCGGAGCUUAACUCCGAAACUGCAUUCGAUACUGCCGUGCUUGAGGACUGGAGAGGAGACUGGAAUUUACGGUGUAGCGGUGAAAUGCGUAGAGAUCCGGAAGAACACCGGUGGCGAAGGCGGCCUGCUGGGCAGUAGCUGACGCUGAUGCGCGACAGCGUGGGGAGCAAACAGG